UCCCAGACUCCUACGGGAGGCAGCAGUGGGGAAUAUUGCACAAUGGGCGAAAGCCUGAUGCAGCAACGCCGCGUGAAGGAAGAAGGGUUUCGGCUCGUAAACUUCUAUCAACAGGGACGAAAGAAAUGACGGUACCUGAAUAAGAAGCCCCGGCUAACUACGUGCCAGCAGCCGCGGUAAUACGUAGGGGGCAAGCGUUAUCCGGAAUUACUGGGUGUAAAGGGUGAGUAGGCGGCAUGGUAAGCCAGAUGUGAAAGCCUUGGGCUUAACCCGAGGAUUGCAUUUGGAACUAUCAAGCUGGAGUACAGGAGAGGAAAGCGGAAUUCCUAGUGUAGCGGUGAAAUGCGUAGAUAUUAGGAGGAACACCAGUGGCGAAGGCGGCUUACUGGACAGUAACUGACGUUGAGGCUCGAAAGCGUGGGGAGCAAACAGGAUUAGAUACCCCAGUA
rnacentral:rRNA from 1 species